rnacentral:rRNA from 1 species
UACGUAGGGGGCAAGCGUUGUCCGGAUUUAUUGGGCGUAAAGAGCGUGUAGGCGGCCAUACAGGUCAGCUGUGAAAACUCGAGGCUCAACCUCGAGACGUCGGUUGAAACCGUAUGGCUAGAGUCCGGAAGAGGAGAGUGGAAUUCCCGGUGUAGCGGUGAAAUGCGCAGAUAUCGGGAAGAACACCCGUGGCGAAGGCGGCGAUCUGGGUAGAUACUGACGCUGAGGUGCGAAAGCGUGGGGAGCAAACAGG